AACGGGUGAGUAACGCGUGAGGAACCUGCCUCAAAGAGGGGGACAACGAGUUGGAAACGACUGCUAAUACCGCAUAAGCCCACGGGUCGGCAUCGACCGAGAGGGAAAAGGAGCAAUCCGCUUUGAGAUGGUCUCGCGUCCGAUUAGCUAGUUGGUGAGGUAAUGGCCCACCAAGGCGACGAUCAGUAGCCGGACUGAGAGGUUGAACGGCCACAUUGGGACUGAGACACGGCCCAGACUCCUACGGGAGGCAGCAUG
rnacentral:rRNA from 1 species